rnacentral:lncRNA from 1 species
AGAAUCUCCACUUCUUGUUGUGGUCCAUUUAGGAAAACAGAAGCUAAACCAAAUAAAAUAAUGCUGGAUAUCAUUCUUGAAAGAAUAGCAAAAUGGCCAAAUUUAAUCUCAAAUAUUAUAAACUUUUUGCGAACAACAGUCUUUCUCUUCCCUCUGUUUAUUGUUAUUUUUUUGCUGCUUUAUUAUUAUUAUGCAAUGAC